GCAAGAAACUAGUAGCUGUGACAUCUCAGCAGGAUAGAUAAAACACCAGGAACAAAGAAGAAAUCGGAGGCAGCUGCAGUUUGCCAUGGAGCUGGAAUAUUCUCAAGAGAUUUAGAAGAAAUGACUCCUGGGGGCCAAGCAUUGUACAGAUUGAAAGUGGUUCCACUUUUUUUUUUUUUUUUUUUAAGUUCAAGGACCCUUAACAUCUGUGCCAACCUGGGAAACAGAUAAAGAAUUAUCAGUGCUUUGGUUAACCCAGUAAAGACUCGACUACAAAACAAAACAGAAAAUUACUAUCUAUUCUUAUUCUCAUUUUAUAAAGGCAAGAUCAUUUUAACGCCCUUUCUUCAAAGUUGGAAGGACACAAUCACUUUUUUUAUUUUUAUU
rnacentral:lncRNA from 1 species